rnacentral:rRNA from 1 species
AUUGAACGCUGGCGGCAUGCCUUACACAUGCAAGUCGAACGGCAGCGGACCUUCGGGUGCCGGCGAGUGGCGAACGGGUGAGUAAUAUAUCAGAACGUACCUUUCAGUGGGGGAUAACGUAGCGAAAGUUACGCUAAUACCGCAUAUUCUGUGAGCAGGAAAGCAGGGGAUCGCAAGACCUUGCGCUGAUUGAGCGGCCGAUAUCAGAUUAGCUAGUUGGUGAGGUAAAGGCUCACCAAGGCGACGAUCUGUAGCGGGCCUGAGAGGAUGAUCCGCCACACUGGAACUGAGACACGGUCCAGACUCCUACGGGAGGCAGCAGUGGGGAAUUUUGGACAAUGGGCGCAAGCCUGAUCCAGCCAUGCCGCGUGAGUGAAGAAGGCCUCGGUUGUAAG